CAAUAUAUUUAUCUAUUAAACACGUGUGCGUUGGACUUUAACUUUGAUAUAAAAUGAUUAGCGUUGAAUAGUUGCUUUAUUCGUUCAUAACUUAGCUUUCUAAAACAAUUAAGUGGGAGGAAAAGAAUAUUAUAAGGUUUGCUUCUGCAGAGUGUUUGCUGCAAAAUGACAGAGUGGGUGAGGCUGAAACAAUUGAAAUGUCCAGCACCAGGAUGUCCUUCGACCAAGCUUGUAGAUUGGGUUUGCGCAAAAGAUAAAAAUAAUACUUACCUCAACGAAAAUGGCGAAAUUAAAUGUGCUAAAAGUGAGAACGGGGAUAGUGUUCACUUGGAUGACCUGUGUAAAUGGGGAUGGAAGUGUGGAGACGGAUUCCAUGAAGGUCAGCAUAUAAGAGCGGAUUUCCAAAGCUUUACUCAUGCGAUGUCGACGGCUUUGACAUUCAGUGACUCAAGAUCAGCCCUUUGGAUUUCCAAAUUGAUUCUUGCAUUAGGACGACAAUACAGAAGAUAACAUCAACUACGCUUCAAUUUGCGCACGCACACGCCUGCAAGGGCAACAAAAGAAUAAGCACGAAAACGCAUUUGUAAAACGUAUAUAUUGCAUAAUUAAUAAUUGCGUUGAUAAAAACUGCCAAAAUAUCCAAUCAAGUGUGCAUGUAUUUAGCAACGUCGAAGUAUCUGUUAAAUUGUGUUAGAAGUGUGAAAGUAUAAACAAUAUAUGUUCAUAUUUUUGAAAUAAAUUAUACAAGUCAUCA